UAUUUGCAUAGCUUAUUUAGAGUAUGGCUUUGAAGAUGCUAUGGAAGUUAAAACUUGUAAAUAU
rnacentral:tRNA from 1 species